UACCUCACAUCAUUUCAAUAUGGCGUCGUUUGUUGUUUAUAAACAAACGAGGCGUUUGUUUAUAACAGCGAUAAAAGUAAAGAUGCGAAAAAGCAACAAAAUUAUGUCGUUUCUUAUCAAUAGUCCAUCAAAUUAAUCAAAUAUUCCACGAGUGCAGUCGCAAAGUGAACCCAACAACAAAACCCACGGCGUGGUUCAUGGAAAUCCGGGGGCUUCAUCUACAUUGUGUUCGGCUCGAAGGAGAUAGCGCUUGCAAUGAACGAAACGCUGUGCCGGAAUUGCCACACCAAGGUCAACCGAAAGCGCACCAACCAGGCCGCUUUGAGCACCCCCAAACGAUUCUCGCUUGACGCAGACUCCGAACCAUCACUGAGAACGACCAAACCAAACUAAAAUGUACCCGGAAUGAUGUCCACGAUCGCAGAAGGAAUCAACCGGCUGUUUCCCAAAACUGACGGAACUGACCGACGUCAACGUGCUGCAGAAUCUUCCAGUAUGCGAAUUAUGGGUGUCUUGUCCUAUCAAUUGGUUUUUGGACACGGCUGCCACCUCAUGGAGCAAACGGUCCAGCACCGGCUGAAUCCGGAAGGAGAUCAACAGACAUAUUACAAAAUAAAUAAAUGAAGCUUUGCCCUGUUGCCUGCCCCGAA
rnacentral:lncRNA from 1 species